rnacentral:rRNA from 1 species
UACAGAGGGUGCGAGCGUUAAUCGGAAUUACUGGGCGUAAAGCGUGCGCAGGCGGUUUUGUAAGACUGUCGUGAAAUCCCCGGGCUCAACCUGGGAAUGGCGAUGGUGACUGCAAGGCUAGAGUUUGGCAGAGGGGGGUAGAAUUCCACGUGUAGCAGUGAAAUGCGUAGAUAUGUGGAGGAACACCGAUGGCGAAGGCAGCCCCCUGGGUCAAAACUGACGCUCAUGCACGAAAGCGUGGGGAGCAAACAGG